GGGGGACUGAGAUUUAAACCACACUCUUCCUGACACAGAAACCCCAUUUUUUUCCUCCCUUGAAUGAGCCCAUAGCCCAACAUUCAAGGGUCCAGCUGCUUUGCUGUUUUCCCAGAAAAGGGCUCUGGCUGGCCAGGCCUGGGAGGGCCUAGGCACCCAGACAGGCAGCAGCUGGCUGCAGUCCAGUCCCAGCUAUGCGGCUGGAGAAGCUGUUUAUGAACUCUGCCUGUCUGAGCCCUGGAAGCCCAGCUACCCCAGCUGGGACUUUUCACAGAUGACCCAGCAGGCAGGCUCCCUUGGUACCACUAGCCUUAUGUUUGGCGCUUGGGAGGCAAGCUGAGGCUGUGUGGACAGAGGUGAGGAGGGCGUGAUGGUGACUGUGUGCACUCAAAUACUCAGCAGAGAGAAGAAAGGGCUGAUUCUGAGGGUUUUAAAUGGAGUCACCUGGUAGUAGAAGGCGGUGGGGAGCAGGAAUUGGCCUGUCGUCUAACAGACUCAAGG